UACGGAGGGGGCUAGCGUUGUUCGGAAUUACUGGGCGUAAAGCGCACGUAGGCUGCUUUGCAAGUUAGAGGUGAAAGCCCGGGGCUCAACUCCGGAAUUGCCUUUAAAACUGCAUCGCUAGAAUUGUGGAGAGGUAAGUGGAAUUCCGAGUGUAGAGGUGAAAUUCGUAGAUAUUCGGAAGAACACCAGUGGCGAAGGCGACUUACUGGACACAUAUUGACGCUGAGGUGCGAAAGCGUGGGGAGCAAACAGG
rnacentral:rRNA from 1 species